rnacentral:rRNA from 1 species
UAACCGGCGAUUUCCGAAUGGGGAAACCCAGUGUGUUUCGACACACUAUCAUUAACUGAAUCCAUAGGUUAAUGAGGCGAACCGGGGGAACUGAAACAUCUAAGUACCCCGAGGAAAAGAAAUCAACCGAGAUUCCCCCAGUAGCGGCGAGCGAACGGGGAGGAGCCCAGAGCCUGAAUCAGUGUGUGUGUUAGUGGAAGCGUCUGGAAAGGCGUGCGAUACAGGGUGACAGCCCCGUACACAAAAAUGCACAUACUGUGAGCUCGAUGAGUAGGGCGGGACACGUGGUAUCCUGUCUGAAUAUGGGGGGACCAUCCUCCAAGGCUAAAUACUCCUGACUGACCGAUAGUGAACCAGUACCGUGAGGGAAAGGCGAAAAGAACCCCGGCGAGGGGAGUGAAAAAGAACCUGAAACCGUGUACGUACAAGCAGUGGGAGCCUCUUUAUGGGGUGACUGCGUACCUUUUGUAUAAUGGGUCAGCGACUUAUAUUCUGUAGCAAGGUUAACCGAAUAGGGGAGCCGAAGGGAAACCGAGUCUUAACUGGGCGUUAAGUUGCAGGGUAUAGACCCGAAACCCGGUGAUCUAGCCAUGGGCAGGUUGAAGGUUGGGUAACACUAACUGGAGGACCGAACCGACUAAUGUUGAAAAAUUAGCGGAUGACUUGUGGCUGGGGGUGAAAGGCCAAUCAAACCGGGAGAUAGCUGGUUCUCCCCGAAAGCUAUUUAGGUAGCGCCUCGUGAAUUCAUCUCCGGGGGUAGAGCACUGUUUCGGCAAGGGGGUCAUCCCGACUUACCAACCCGAUGCAAACUGCGAAUACCGGAGAAUGUUAUCACGGGAGACACACGGCGGGUGCUAACGUCCGUCGUGAAGAGGGAAACAACCCAGACCGCCAGCUAAGGUCCCAAAGUCAUGGUUAAGUGGGAAACGAUGUGGGAAGGCCCAGACAGCCAGGAUGUUGGCUUAGAAGCAGCCAUCAUUUAAAGAAAGCGUAAUAGCUCACUGGUCGAGUCGGCCUGCGCGGAAGAUGUAACGGGGCUAAACCAUG